GCGCGAAACCUCCGCAAUGCGGGAAACCGCGACGGGGCUAGCCAGAGUGCCCGUGCAUAGCGCGGGCUGUCCGGGUGCCUAAAAAGCACCCGAUAGCAAGGGAUGGGCAAGGCCGGUGGCAGCCGCCGCGGUAAUACCGGCGUCCCGAGUGGCGGCCACUUUUAUUGGGCCUAAAGCGUUCGUAGCCGGGCUGGUAAGUCCCCCGGGAAAUCUGGUCGCUCAACGAUCAGACUGCCGGGGGAUACUGCCAGCCUAGGGACCGGGAGAGGCCGAGGGUAUUCCCGGGGUAGGGGUGAAAUCCUGUAAUCCCGGGAGGACCACCUGUGGCGAAGGCGCUCGGCUGGAACGGGUCCGACGGUGAGGAACGAAGGCCUGGGGAGCGAACCGGAUUAGAUACCCGGGUAGUCCAGGCUGUAAACGAUGCGGGCUAGGUGUCACCGGAGCUACGAGCUCCGGUGGUGCCGGAGGGAAGCCGUUAAGCCCGCCGCCUGGGAAGUACGGCCGCAAGGCUGAAACUUAA
rnacentral:rRNA from 1 species